rnacentral:lncRNA from 1 species
GAAGAGGCACGAUAGCUAAAGAAGCGUCGACCUCAAAACAGAUGCUAACGUUAAAAGUAUGGCUAUAGAACAAAAAGCCGAGCUCCUAGCUCGGACGGACCUAUAUUCUCAAAAGCUCAAAGCCGGGCUCCCAGCUCGGACGGACCUAUAUUCUCAAAAGCUCAAAGCCGGGCUCCCAGCUCGGAUAGACUUAUAUCCUCAAAAGCUCAAAGAUAUGAAGGCCA